GAUGAACGCUGGCGGCGUGCCUAAUACAUGCAAGUCGAGCGAACAGAUGAGGAGCUUGCUCCUCUGACGUUAGCGGCGGACGGGUGAGUAACACGUGGAUAACCUACCUAUAAGACUGGGAUAACUUCGGGAAACCGGAGCUAAUACCGGAUAAUAUAUUGAACCGCAUGGUUCAAUAGUGAAAGACGGUUUUGCUGUCACUUAUAGAUGGAUCCGCGCCGCAUUAGCUAGUUGGUAAGGUAACGGCUUACCAAGGCAACGAUGCGUAGCCGACCUGAGAGGGUGAUCGGCCACACUGGAACUGAGACACGGUCCAGACUCCUACGGGAGGCAGCAGUAGGGAAUCUUCCGCAAUGGGCGAAAGCCUGACGGAGCAACGCCGCGUGAGUGAUGAAGGUCUUCGGAUCGUAAAACUCUGUUAUUAGGGAAGAACAAAUGUGUAUGUAACUAUGCACGUCUUGACGGUACCUAAUCAGAAAGCCACGGCUAACUACGUG
rnacentral:rRNA from 1 species